rnacentral:rRNA from 1 species
GCUCGUAGUUGGAUUUCUGGUGGGAGCGGCCGGUCCGCCGCAGGGUGUGUACUUGGUUGUCUCCUGUCAUCCUUGUGGGAACUGCUCUGGCAUUAAGUUGUCGGGGUUGGGGAACACAUCGUUUACUGUGAAAAAAUUAGAGUGUUUAAAGCAGGCUUAUGCCGUUGAAUACAUUAGCAUGGAAUAAUAAGAUAGGACUUUGGCGUCUAUUUUGUUGGUUUGCACACCAAAGUAAUGAUUAAUAGGGAUAGUUGGGGGUAUUCGUAUUUAAUUGUCAGAGGUGAAAUUCUUGGAUUUAUGAAAGACGAACUUCUGCGAAAGCAUUUACCAAAGAUGUUUUCAUUAAUCAAGAACGAAAGUUAGGGGAUCGAAGAUGAUUAGAUACCAUCGUAGUCUUAACCAUAAACUAUGCCGACUAGGGAUUGGCGGUCGUUCAUUUAUGACUCCGUCAGCACCUUAUGAGAAAUCAAAGUCUUUGGGUUCCGGGGGGAGUAUGGUCGCAAGGCUGAAACUUAAAGGAAUUGACGGAAGGGCACCACCAGGAGUGGAGCCUGCGGCUUAAUUUGACUCAACACGGGGAAACUUACCAG